CCCUUAGAUGUCCUGGGCCGCACGCGCGCUACACUGAUGCAUGCAACGAGUUUAUAACCUUGGCCUGAAAGGUCUGGGUAAUCUUUUGAACGUGCAUCGUGACAGGGAUAGAUUAUUGCAAUUGUUAAUCUUGAACGAGGAAUUCCUAGUAAACGCGAGUCAUCAGCUCGCAUUGAUUACGUCCCUGCCCUUUGUACACACCGCCCGUCGCACCUACCGAUUGAAUGGUUCGGUGAAGAUCUCGGACUUCGAUAUUUAUUCUUUAUUGAGUUUAUAUUGUGGGAAGUUAUCUAAACCUCAUCAUUUAGAGGAAGGUGAAGUCGUAACA
rnacentral:rRNA from 1 species